rnacentral:rRNA from 1 species
GACGAACGCUGGCGGCGUGCUUAACACAUGCAAGUCGAACGGAAAGGCCCUGCAUUUGGGUGGUGUCCGAGUGGCGAACGGGUGAGUAACACACGAGUAACCUACCCUUGACUUUGGGAGAACUUCAAGAAACUGGGGCUAAUACCUGAUAGAAGCUCUCGCAGCAUGGCGGGGGGUGGAAAGUUUCGGCGGUUGGGGAUGGAAUGGCGGCAUAUCAGCUGGUUGGUGGGGUAGUGGCGUACCAAGGCUGUGAGGGGUAGCCGGCCUGGGAGGGUGACCGGGCCCAGUGGGACUGAGGAAGGGGCCAGACUGCAACGGGCGGCAGCGGUGGGGAAUAUUGCGCAAUGGGCCGAAGCCUGAUGCAGCACCGUCGGGUUCGGGAUGACGGUCUUCGGGGUGUAAACCGCUUUCUCCUGAUACGAAGCGUGAGUGACGGUACCGGGUAAAGAAGCAACGGCUAACUACGUG